GGAGAAGGAAUUGAAGAGAUCAAAGUCAGAGGUUGGAAGCGCAAUGAAGGCUUGUGGUCAGAUUUUGCAAAAGCUGAUGAAAACCAAAAUAGGUUGGAUUUUUAGCUCUCCGGUCGACCCGGUGGCUUUGAAUCUUCAUGAUUACUUUGAUAUAAUUAAGCAUCCUAUGGAUCUGGGUACUGUGAAGUCAAAACUUGCUAAGAAUGCUUACUCUACACCGGCGGAAUUUGCUGAUGAUGUUAAGUUAACGUUCAAAAAUGCAUUGACAUACAAUCCCAAGGGCCAUGAUGUUAACACCGCGGCGAUGCAGCUUCUUGAAAAAUUUGAGGAGCUUUAUCGACCAAUACAAGAAAAAUUUGAUGAAAAAAGUUUUGAUGAUGAAUUACAGGCUAGCUCGUGGAACCAUGUUGAACCGGAGAGGGAAAGGGAGAGGGUCAAGAAGAAAGAUAAUCCGAUUCCAAUCCCUCCACCGGUAGCAAAACGCCAAGAGCUACUGCCUGAGCCUGCUAGUACUUCUAACCAGCCAAGCACUUCAAAUCCUCCUCCAUUAGCGCAAUCACCAGUUCGCACACCCUCUCCAACACGAGCACUCCCAGUGAAGCCCUUGAAGCAACCCAAGCCAAAGGCCAGGGAUCCAAAUAAGAGGGAAAUGAAUGUCGAAGAAAAGCACAAGUUGGGACUUGGGCUGCAGAUUUUUGCCACCAGAGAAGAUGGAACAAGUAGUACAGAUCAUAAGGAAGAGAAAUGGGCAUCUGGAGCAAGAUGGGGAUGAGAUUGAGCUUGAUAUGGAGGCUGUUGACACGGAGACUCUCUGGGAACUCGAUCGAUUGGUUACCAAUUGGAAAAAGAUGGUGAGCAAGAUUAAGCGGCAGGCGCUAAUGGAUAAUAAUAAUGUGCCUUCAAACAAAGGCAAUGGGGUAAAAACCUUAUUGUCCAUUUUUUAUUUCUGUUGAGUGAUGUUACUGUCUAAUGUAGCAUUGUUGGCAGUGUUUUGUCACAUUCUAAUUUAUUGUGUGCAUUUACAGGAAUUGCCUGAUAGGGAGAAGGUUGAUGCAACCCCUCCUUCUGAGGGGAAGAAACAGAAGAAGAUAGAUACUGUUGAUGAGGAUGUUGACAUUGGCGAUGAUAUGCCGGCAAAUGAUUUUCCACCUGUGGAGAUUGAGAAAGAUAAAGAUAUGGGUGGUACUGGUGGCCGUGCCAGUAGUAGUUCCAGUGGUUCCAGCAGUUCUGGGAGUGGUGAUUCCUCGUCGAGUGGUAUAACCUCUUUCCUCUAAAUGCUGUGGUUUGUACUCUGAAAUCAUCAUGGGUAGAAACAUCAAUUUUGAUCCUCGUGCAGAUUCGGAUUCAGGGAGUUCUUCAGGAAGUGAUUCUGAAGCUGGCAAUGGUCAUUUGUAGCAGGGCAGGGCUUUUGGUACUAAUGAUCACGAAGACCAACGCCGGUUAGCGGAUCAAGAAAUGUUUGCCUCGUUGCUAUAGUGCUUGCAUGUGUCGGCUAGGUAUGUCAAUUUGAUUGGUUGAUACAUGUACAUUUCUUAUUCUGCUAUGGCUUAAAUGUUCUGAAGAUAGCAUAGCCGGCCAAAUUUAUCAUGAUUGUCUUUAAACUUUUUGUAACAGGGGUUGUAGACAUUGAUUGUUGGUUUCAUCGUGGGAAUGGCUAAUCGGAUUGGGACUAAGAGCACCUGAUCCAUGAUUUGCGUUGUGACUUUGGAGUGUAUAAAGGGUUUGGACAAUGAUCAAAAGCAGUAGUAGGACCAGAAAGUAGCAAGUAAUCUGUGGUAAAAAUUUCUCUAGUAGGAUAGAUGCUUAAGAAAGUUUAGGAAGAUAAUCAAUAGAUGUAGUACUUUUUUGUGAUUACACCUUGUACACAUUUUACAGUAAGUAGAUAAAUCACUCUCAAAUUUUGGAGAAAGAAUUUUUGUGGAUCUUUGUUGUGAUUGUUAAUUUGAUGAAGUUUACCUUCUCCAUGUUGUUUGUAUCAGGAAGGAUGACCUUGUUCAAAUAAGGAAAGUGGAAAAAAGAAAAAUAAUAGUAUCUUCUUUAAAGAAUCAUUAACAAAACGAAAAUGUGAUUUGGUUAAUCUAGUGUGAUUCUCUCGGAAAGAUAAAAUUAUCCCAUCAAAAAGCCCAUAUAUACGUUCAUGAAAUGAGUAAAACUAAAUCUUAUCUCAUCUAAAAAUGAAUGAGUGAGGUGUUAUUGUUGCAAAGAUUAGGAACGAGUGGUAUAUUACCCAAGUGAACAAGAUUUUUUUAACAGAUAACUACGUGAGCUAACAGGAUCUUAGCAUUAUAUUUCAUUAAGGAACACCGAAGAAAUCUGUGCCGGAUAAACUUUAAGACAGACUUAUCCUGAAAAAUAACAAGGUCAAAGUAGAAGAAGCUUAGCCUGUGUAAAUUUUAGUGCUUCAUAGAUCCCAUAUUAAGUGUGACUUAUAAGUGAUUAGAUAUUUUCGAAUGGAUUGAGAAAAAAUAAACAAGAGACUGACAAUUUUACAAAAUUAUCUAUUCAUUUUCUAGCCACCUUUUUCAAACAUGAUUAGAAGACAGUCUAUUUAUCCAGUUUGAUUUUAAGAAUCUCUUUUAAUGAUCCUAGUCUUCCCUAUUCUUUGUUGCGAUUUAAAUAAUUUCCAUCACUAUAUGAGUGAUUCAGAGCUCCUCCAAAGUCUGACUUUGCACUUGUACAAGUUUCCAAAAUAAAGCCAAAGAUAUUAAUGCCCAAUCUUUGCUUGUGCUAUUUAAUUUGGGAAAGGAGAGUUCUUUCUCACCAUGAGAAAGUUGAUCAUGUCCAUUAGAUUAAAUGAGAAACAUAUUCCUAUCAUACUCUCUCAACCACUAGAUUAUUUUUUUAUACUAUCUUUCAUACUCUCUUUCAUGUCCCCACACUCCCAUACCACCACCACUAAAUCAUAAAUUCAACAACCACUUUGACCACCAUGGUUGCUGCCGGAAAGAACUUUCCUUUUCCAAAUUAAAUGGCACCAUCAUUUUAAUCAAAACUCAAGGGUACCUGCAAAUUUUCCUAUAAAGAAUCUAAAUUAACCUAACGAUGCAAUAUUAUAUUUUUUUAGAGGGAUGCAAUAUUAUUUUAUUCAUAGUUUAUUUUAGAGGGAUGCAUAAUUAUCUUGUUGUUCGAAUUCCAACCACCAUCGCAUAAACUAUACCUGUUUGUGAUUGUUGUUUUUUUUUUUAUCCAAUUAAUCCGUUUCUCUCUCCAGGUAAAAUGAUUGUAUUAUAUAAUUUUGAAUUAUAUUAUUUUUCUUCUUGUUUUUUUUUUAUAAAAAAAACAAAAUGGGUUCCUGGAAGUAUAAAAAAGAAAAGAAAAGAAAAAAUGUUAAAAAAAGUAAAGGUUUAAAUGCAUUUUUUUGUCUUUCUAUUUAAAAAAGAAAAUGAUGUUUUGGUCUUCCUAUUUUAAAAAUCGUACGCUAACAAGUUUUCCGGCAGCAACCAUGGUGGUGUGUGGUGGUGCAGUGGUGGUCAAAGUGGUUGUUGAAUUUGUGAUUUAGUUGUGGUGGUAUGGUGUGUGGGGACAUGAAAGAGAGAGUGUAAAAGAUAGUAUAAAAAAAUAAUCUAGUGGUUGAGAGAGUAUGAUAGGAAUAUGUUCCUCAUUUAAUCUAAUGGAUAUGAUCAACUUUCCCAUGGUGGGAAAGAACUCUCCUUUCCCAAAUUAAAUGUCACCAUCUUGGUGUUUGCUAAUCUGAAAUUUCUUUCAACAUAGAUAGAUUAAAUCAUUCAAGAGUUACUAGUACUUUGCUUUGAAUAAUAUUCCUUUUUAAGCAUAACCCGUGUGCUAAACUGCUCACAAAUUUAUGAGAGGUUCAGCACAAGCCUGAGACAAAUUUCAGAGCACCAAAAGAAGCUAUUUGCCCUUUCUCUAUGAUAGUCUCAAAUAUUCGUUCGGCAUAGAUAAAUUCAAUCAUUCAAGAGUUGAUAGUUGGACUCCAUCAUCACUUGAAUAAUACUUGGCUUUUAAAAAUAUUCGUUUCUGAAGCAGUCAUGUGCUAAGCUGCUCAUCACAAGUUGUGAGGUGAGGUUCACCAAAAGCCUUGAGAGCACAAAAGAAAUAUUCGCCCUUUUUUAUGUAUAACAUGAGCAAUUGGAGCAAUGAAGUUGGCCAAAUGAAUAAAAGACCAUCAAAGACGUAUCUAAAAAUUUUAAUAAGUCGGAUCAAAGUCGGAUAUAAAAAAUGUAAACAAUUAAAAAUUCAUAUAGUUUAUUGAUCGUACCUGAUCAGGAGGCGAAUGUCGAUGUGGUGCUAGAUGGUGGUUGCAAGCGGUUGUUUCAACUGAAACGGCGGGGAAGUAUAGCUACAGACGCUCAAGUCAAUAUUGAGAAAGGAUCUAACCUUGGAGACUGCUGAGAGUCUCCCUUGUAUAGUGUGGAGGUGCAAGUGUCGUUGUAAGGUACGUGUGGAGUUCGGCAGUUAAGGAUUUAGAAGAAUCGUAACCGUUGAGAGAGAGCUUCGCAGACACAUGUGAGAGACUAAGUGGCUCAAAUGCUGAUGAAUUUGGGUCUUUUUUGGAUUAUGUUUAUCAAUGUAAUAAUUUUAACGUUACUUCUGUUGUAGUGUUAUGAAAGGAUUAUGUUGAAAUAAUAACAUCAUAUUAAUAGGGUCACAUACUCACAUUGCAUCAAUAUCUAAGUAUUGGUAAAAAAUACAAUAACCAAGUGAGAUCAAUUGACCACACUACCCCACGUAAGGCCAUUUUAAUAACUCAUCAAAGUGUCAUCGACCAACCUUCACAUAUUUAACAAGUAAAUCAACAGUAAUACUCCCUCCGAUUUACAAGAAACAAUUGACUUUAUAGAUUUAUUGAAUAAUUGAUGUAUUUUGUCUAUAUUCUAGACCAAGUACAUAAAUUAUUCAAUUAACUUAAAAAAUUAAUUGUUUAUUCUAAAUAGACCAGAGGAAGUAUAACCAACAACAAAAAAAAAAUAGCACUAAUGUUGAUGCAUUUUAAGAGAAACGGCUCAAACAUAAUACAAAAUCAUUUCUUCAAAUCCGUCAAAUGAUCAAUACUCAUAUCUCUUUUGUCCCCAUGUUAUUUGAAAUCAACAUGCAAUUUUUGUAAGAUAUGAUUGGUGAAUCAGUCUAUAUUGUUUAGAUAAUUAUUUUGAGUUAGUUAGUCAAAUGACUAGUCGAAUAAGUCGGAGGAAUUAGUUUGUUGAGAUAGCUGGUUGAGUUGCUUACUAUAUAAGUAGUUCUAUCAUGAUUCAUUAUGUAACUCGUUUUAUUUCGUGUUAAUACGAUUUUAAUUUUUCUCAUUAAUCUAAUUCAGCACAACCAUUCUCUCAAUCCUUUCCUUUAUAUGGGAACUGCAGUUGUUCCAACUUCCAACAGAUUGGUAUAACAUAUUCCAGUUCGAUUAAUCCAUUAAUCUAAAAGAUCAAGGGAAAGUUCAAACGCAACCUCAAAUAAAUUCUUUGCAUAUGCUCGUGUUCAAAGGAGACAAUUAUGAUUAGUGGUGUGCCUAAAUGAAAGUGAAUGAUGGUUGCAAACUACGGCGCAAAAACCUGUGCAUCGUGAGUUCAAGAAAAGAUGCAUAUGGAUUGUUAUUGAUCCAUUAGUGUGAGGGUUCAAACAUCUUCAAGAAGAUAAUUGAUGAAGAAACGCCAAAGGGAGUGUGGCAAAGACUCAAGAAGGUGUAUGGUGGCGAUGUCAAGCUCAAGAAAGUGAAGCUCCAAGCCUUGUGCCAUCACCAUGAGAUGCUCUGAAUGACUAAGCAAAGUCAAUUGCAGAGUUCUGAUCCAAUGAAGUUUAUUUGUCUUUGAAAUUUCCAAAAUCUUUUUGCUUAUCAUUCUAAUUUUUUUUUUUUUGAAAGAAAAUCAUUUAUGCAAUUAAAGAAUCUCAAAACCCUUACUUUAAAUUGAAGAAUUUACUAAACGGUUAAAAUAUACGCGAGUCCACGCGGAUAGGAUAAAAACAAUAAUUACGUUAUAUGUUAGGCAAAAUUACAUUUUUAGUUCCUUAAUUUAAUUUCAGAUAACAGUUUGGUCCUUUAUCUUUUUUUCAUUUCAAUUUGGUCCUUUUUGUCUAUUUUCAUAUGAAAUUUUAAGCUUAAAAUUCAUGAUUUUAUUUUCUUAUGGUCUUUCAGUCUUCAAAUCUAUGAUCCUUGCUUAUGUUUGCAUAAAAAUAUUAAAUUUGAAGCUUGGAAAUGUAUAUGAAAAUGAACAAAAAUGACCAAAUUGAAAUAAAAAAAAGAUAAAUGACCAAACAUUUAUCUGAAAUUAAGUUAAGGAACUAAAAAUAUAAUUUUGCCUAUAUGUUAUUAUACUUUUUGGUCUCUGAAUUUGUUUUUUUUUUUUAACCUGUAACAUUUGAUUUUUUAGGCCUAAUUACACUAAUUCUUAACUAGAAUCCUUAACAAUGAAUAAGAAAGUGAAUUUUCAUCUGCAAUUUUUUUUUUUUAAGGAACUCAUCUGCAAUUUAUGAUUUCUCAUUGUUAUUUUGCUCAAAAUUUUGAAUCAUUGUCCGUUAUUUUGUUUGUACACGCUUAACCUAACAAUUCACUGCUCACAAUUUCAUCGUCAAUUUAUCAUCCUACGUUUAUAUUUUUUUGUUUAAUAUUUUCUUUCUCUACCAUUUAAAAAUCAUUUUAAUCCUGCCAUUCUCUAGAAAGCUUCAAAGUCAUCAUAUUUCUUAUAUACAUCCUUAAAGUAUAUCUUUCAAUUUCUUAUAUAUGUUACACAUUUAAAAUUUUAUUUUUCUUUACUAAAUUAUACUCAUAAGUUAGUUCUUGAUUUUAUCCCGAUUCAAAGUUCAUGAAUACAUUGCCGGGUCGGAUGCAUCCUAAAUCUUUUUCGUAGAGUACAUCACUGUCCAAAUUUACUUUGGAUCUGUUUGGCAAAGUCAUGAAGCUAACUUAUAGUUUAUAGCAGAUAGUUUAUAAGUUCGUCUGACAAAAAAAAACCCCAUUUGAUAACGGUAUUUACAUAACAAGCUUAUAUCUUAUUUCAAAAGUUUAUAAUUUAUUUUCAAUACGCUAUUUCAAGUAGCGUAUGAACUUAUUUAUAACUUGUCAUCUUUUCUCUAAUUUAUACCCUUAUUAUUAUAUUUGAAAUUCAAUUUCACCCAUUGUAAUUUAUUACUCCAAUGAUUAAAAACAACACAUUAAUUACUGUUUUAUAUAUACCAUGCCUUAAAAAAAUGACUCGUUAACCUUUGCAUUCCAUUUUAUUUUAAUUUUAUAAUUUAUCUAUACAUGUAUAGAGUAUAACCUUUUGUCAAAAAAAGUAUAGGAUAUAACAUUUGUGUUUUUUUUAUUUAAUGAAAAUAUACCUUUCUGGUUUUUAACUAUGUACCUUUUAAAAAAAAAAAAUUUACGUACUUUUAAUAAUGCAUAUAAUAGUUACUAAAAAAUUGUUUAAGAAGACAUUAUUCAAUUCCAUCAAAAAAAGGAAAACAUGGUUCAAUGUAACUAUCCAUUAUUGUGUGUCAAUUUCGAUGGGAUAGUUUAAAUUCUUAAAAACAAUAACAAUUAUUGUUAAUAAUAAGUUAAUAACAAUAAUAAUAGAAAGAAAUAUAAACAUUUAAAUGAAAAUAAAUAGAAAUAAAAUUAUCGAUGGGAGUAAUACAUUUUGGUAACCGCGUUCAAUUUUUUUAAUGAAAACUUUUCAUUUAAUUAUUUUAUAAAAUAUAAACACUUAAAUGAAAAUAAAUAGAAAUAAAAAUUUAACCUUAAAAAAAAGAAUUUUUUUUUUAGUGAAUAAAAUUUAAUUUAUAAUAUAAAAGAUGUAUUAUACAUUAAGAAUAUCAUUUUUUUGUCAUUUUACAUUUAUCAACCAAUUAAACCGUUACUUUUACCAAACAGUUUUCAGUCAUCAAUUAUUAAUUAUAACCUAUAAACUAUCACCCAUCAUUCAACGACUAGCAUAUCAGCUACACCUUUCGGUCACUAAUAUAAGCUAAAAGUUUAAUUUUUAGAUUCAUUCAAUAAAUGACGUAUGAAGUCUAUAAUAAAGAUUACAUACGUCAUUUAAUGAAUAAAUUUAAAAAGAGUAUUGAUAUUUGAGUAAAUAGACAAUUACCCCCCUGAAAUUGUAAGUUUCGUCAAUUACCCCACUGAAAUUAACAAAACUUCAAUUACCCCCCUGAAAUUGCACAACGUUAAUCAAUUUACCCCCUCCGUCAAGUUUUUCUGUUAGUCAACAUAACGUUUUGCAAAUACCCCCUGAAGUUUUCACUUAUGUGCAAAAUGCCCCCGAACUUUAAAAUUUAUAUAUUUUUUCUUAUCAUUGACUCAAAUGAUAUUAAAGACAAACAAUUAACAAUUAGCUUUAUGUAUCCUCUUAAGUUCUUGGAAUACAAUUAUUGAAUUUUAUCAAUGUCAUGUGUAUCAUCAUUGUAUUUUCACCUUUGACUUAUUGACCUUUCUUUACAAGUUGAUUAUGAUGCCAUUCUCCUCUGUUCAUUUGUUUAUUUCCAUUUGUGUUUGUUUACAAUUUCCAUUCAUGAAGCUCAUGAACAUUGUUUGGAUUGGAUAGGGUUUUUGUGUUCGUUUUAUGCAUAUAGAUAUAGAUUGUGUUUUUGGAGCAUUUGAGAUCAAUAGUAAACAGCUACUCAUCAUACUAUACAACAAAAAUGGUUAAUGAGUAGUUAAAAAAUUAACAAGAAUUGCUAUCAAAAAAGAAAGAAAACUACAAAUAAAUAGAUUAAACAAAUAAAUUUCAAUUAUGGUGCAAAAUAAUGUGAUGGGAAUUGACCAAACAUAAAGCUAAAUGUUAAUUGUUUGUCUUUAAUAUCUUUUGAGUCAAAUACAAGAGAAAUAAAAAUAAAAAAAAUUCAAGUUCAAGGGGCAUUUUGCAUAUAAAUGCAAAACUUCAGGGGGUAUUUGCAAAACGUCAUGUUGACUAACAGAAAAUUUUGACGGAGGAGGCAAAUUGAUUAACGUCAUGCAAUUUGAGGGGGGUAAUUGAAGUUGUCUUAAUUUCAAGGGGGUAAUUGACGAAACUCACAAUUUCAGGGGGUAAUUGCCUAUUUACUCAUUGAUAUUUGAACAAAUCGUUUGGUAUAACCUUAUUGUUAUCUCUUUUCAUUGGUAAAAAAUAAUAGAAAGAGAAAAAAGGAAGAGGGAGAAUAAGAAGAUAAUGCGAAUAUAAGAGAGAAAGUUGUACAAAAAUAGUUGUACAAAUAUCAUUUCUCAUUUAAAAAUAAGUUCAUACUCCCUCCGUCCCAAAUUGUAUGACGUUUUGGGCAUUUCACGCAUAUUAAGAAAUGUAAUUAAUAUUGUGUGGGAAAGAAAUAUUAUGAGUUGUUUUACAAAAUUAUCCUCAAUAAAUGAUAUGAGAAAGAUAAAUGAAGGAACUGAAAGAAGAGAGAGUAAUAAAUAGUUAAGGAUAUAAUAAGAAAAGUAACAUUAAUUUUUCAUUGGUAUUGUAAAACGACGUAUAAUUUGAAACAAAUAUUUUUUCUGACAUACAAUUUGGGACGGAGUGAGUAUUAGAGAGCAGAUGUAUCUAUUAUUUUUAACAAAAACAAAAAAAAACCUCCAACUCAAGCCCAAAAUCAUAGAGAACUUCCAGCGUCACUAUUUCUUGAUCAACGGCAAAAGCUAACCCACGUGGAACAAAUUCACAAUCUUAACCGUUAACGCCAGAUCUCUCGGUCAGUAUAACGGGCAAUCCCAAAAAUGAUUACAACCCGUUGGAUGAACGAAUCAAGGGCAGAAGAAAUUGACCAAAACAUCUCGGGCAGAUCUCAUCUCCUUUAAGAAGAGGCAUAGGCUCAUCCGUUUUCUCACUCAGAUUGAAAUUUCCAAUUCCAAACCCUUACACUCUCUUUUCCUCUCUAGAGCUACCAAUAGUAUCUCCGACGGAAGCGCGUGUGUUUUCCAAACGGCGCGUAGAGAUUCCACCUUCGCGUGAUCGUUGGUUUAUUCAAUUCAUCUCUUGUACGAUCCACAUUGAGAAUUUCAUGCCGGAGAUACGCCGGAGUCUCACCGGCCAGCCGUGAUUUCGUGAUUUUAUGGCAUCGGCUUUAUUAGCCAACCGUAACGAACCAAAUUGGCUGCAACACAGAGGCGGUGGAGCUGAAUUCAUGGGUAAAGCACCUAACCCUAACCCUAAAUUUAGUAACAAAAAGAGAACUCAAUCCCCAUCAGAUGACGCUUCCUCAAUCAAUCGACGAUCCAACGAUAAUCAUUCACAAUACGUUACUUUCAACAUCGAAUCGUACUCAAAGACGGAGCUACAUGACCUCAAAAAUCGACUCGUAUCAGAACUCGACCAAAUUCGUCAGCUUAAGACUCGAAUUGAAUCAGGUGAGUUUAAACCCAGGCUAAACCACAACGGUGGUGGUCCCAAUAAGAAAUCGGGGAGCAAAAAGUUUUCCGGCAACAAACGACCUUUUCCGGCGGAGAAGGAAUUGAAGAAAUCAAAGUCAGAGAUUGGGGAUGCGAUGAAGGCUUGUGGUCAGAUUUUGACGAAGCUGAUGAAAAACAAAAGUGGUUGGAUUUUUAACACUUGGAUCUUUAACACUCCUGUAAAUGCAACGGCUUUGAAUCUUCAUGAUUACUUUGAUAUAAUUAAGCAUCCUAUGGAUCUGGGUACUGUGAAGUCAAAACUUGCUAAGAAUGCUUACUCUACACCGGCGGAAUUUGCUGAUGAUGUAAAGUUAACGUUCAAAAAUGCAUUGACAUACAAUCCCAAGGGCCAUGAUGUUAACACCGCGGCGAUGCAGCUUCUUGAAAAAUUUGAGGAGCUUUAUCGACCAAUACAAGAAAAAUUUGAUGAAAAAAGUUUUGAUGAUGAAUU
rnacentral:lncRNA from 1 species